AAAGUCAGUCUUAGAAAUCAGAUCUCAGAAAUUUAAACCUUAGUCAGAACAUGAUAGAGUUUAAUUCCAAAAAGGCCAAUCGGCUUGAGACUAUUUGAAGAUGGCAGUUUAAAAUCAACUUUUAAAGCGUUGUAGAUUUUUCUUUCAUAUUGAAAAAUAAGAUAAUCAGCACCUUAGACAACUCAAAUACACGCAUAUAUACAAAAUACCUACAUAAUACCUACGAGUAGGUAAUAUUUUAAGAAAUUUUCGUUUUAUCAGCGAGCAUUUAAAAAACAAUUUAAUUAGAUAGCCGCAAACAAAAAUAAAGACAACAAUCGCAACUUUUACGUAACAUUGCUAAUUGACAGUUUAAAAUAGAAACACAACUUUAUGCCUAUAAAAAUAAAGUCUGUUUCUUAAUGACAGGACAUGUUCACAGAUACUGUUGCCAUACGCAUUUGCUCGAGUUAUCUUUAAGUAUUUAUCUAUUGUUUAUAUGUGAUCGUAAACUGUAACAAUGGCAGGUCAUAAGGCAUCCAUGUAAUUGCAUAGUAUUUAUGACGUCAAUAUUGUGGUUAUAAGAUGUAAUAAACAUGUAUACAUAUUACCACACAUUCUGAACACCUCUAACCGAGUGUUGAGGUAUGUGACUUCAAAUCGAAUUGGUCUGACUUUAGUAGCUUUUGUUAAAAAUGAGGUCCUGUACCAUUUAGUAAUCUGUAAUCAUUUAUUGCUUUCAUGGCAGCUCUUCAACCACGACUGUUUGCCCGGCAGCGCCAUACUUGGCGUCAGUAAGGAUGUCGUCCACAGCUUGGCAGGCCUCUUCCUUUGUGGUAGCGACCACCACUCCUUUGCCGGCCGCGAGACCGGAAGCCUUUACCACUAACGCUGGAUAGUUGGCGCUAAAAAUAGAAAAAAAUAUACUUAAUGCUGUUAUAGCUCCAAAUAAAUAACUGGCAAUGACAUAA